CAGCGCCACGAGUGGGGAUCACUUUUAUUGGGCCUAAAGCGUCCGUAGCCGGUUUUGUAAAUCCUUUGUGAAAUUGUUAAGCCUAACUUAACAGCGAGCAGGGGACACUGCAAGACUAGAGACCGGGAGGAGUCAGAGGUAUGUUUGGGGGAGCGGUAAAAUGCUAUAAUCCCUAACAGACCACCUGUGGUGAAGACGUCUGACUAGAACGGAUCUGACGGUGAGGGACGAAAGCCAGGGGAGCGAACCGGAUUAGAUACCCGAGUAGUCC
rnacentral:rRNA from 1 species